rnacentral:rRNA from 1 species
AGUGCCUUCGGGAGACUAGACCAGGUGCUGCAUGGCUGUCGUCAGCUCGUGUCGUGAGAUGUUGGGUUAAGUCCCGUAACGAGCGCAACCCUUGUCCUUAGUUGCCAGCGAUUCGUGCGGGAACCUCUAGGAAAACUGCCGGGAAUAACCGGAAGAAGGGGGGGAACAACG